AUGGAGAUGGAGUAUGUCUCCGGCGUCGAAGAGGUGGAGGCGCACUGUGCGAAUCGUGAACCCGAUAAGAUCUCGUUCUGUCUGCGCGCCUCCUUGCCCCUCAAAUCCAGCGGCGAACUGAUGAUCCAUGUCCGAGCGGGUCAUUCUGGUUUCCGCCUCUAUAAUCAAGAGCUUCUCUACUGUAAAUUCAAGGCCAAGAAUGCAAUCGAGCGUGGUUUCGAGCAGCUCAUAAAAGCCUCGGUAUGGGACCCCAUGGCUAAGGUUGAUGAUGCCAGCAUCUGCAUCGGCGAGCUCAACAGACUGCAGCGUACCGCCGACGCCGACAUGCCCCCGCGAGGCAGAAACCCUUUCAAUCUUGGAAAGGGUGCUCGUCACGUCGGGCGCCACCGGAACUUAAGAGAUCUCAAGAAGGAGGCCAUGGAAAGUCCUACUGAUGUUGGUUCUGGAUACGUCGAUUUCAGUCAACCUUUAGUUGCGGACCCUCUGACGUUGCCCCAAAUGCUCCUAUUAAAGUUGGCUUUGAGCAUUUUGAAGCCAGGCACCUUCAGCAGCACACGAUGGACUAAUUUGAAGACUGGUUUGCCUAAGGGAUCCCUUUGCCUAAUGAUGUUAAGUGCAGGAAUUGCAGUCAAGUACCCGAGUACAUUGCUUGAAGAGCUCAUGUUUGUUUCUGCUGCACUGGCCUUCUGA
rnacentral:rRNA from 1 species